AGCAUUGAAUCACAAAGGUCACAUUCUCAAGCCUGGGCCUAAGGCCUAGUUUUUAUGUUAUGCUCUUUCAGUGCAAGAGCUUUAUAUAAAGAGUAAACUCUCUAGCUCCAAUAUACUCUGUACUGUGUAGAGAAUGCCCAAUCUUUGAGAAGACUUCAAGAAGGAAAAAGAAAAAUUCUAAAAAUUAUGUUAAAACAUCAACAUGGAAUUAAUAGACAAGAAUUGUAAAUGUCUCCUCACCACUGGAAACAAAAGAUCUUCAUGUUUACCAUGUGAGAAGACCAAGUUCAAAAGGAGGAUUUAGUCACCUAUGAUGGCCUGCAUGUGAACUUCACUCAGGAAGAGUGGGCUUUACUGGAUCCUUCUCAGAAGAAUCUCUACAAAGAUGUGAUGCUAGAGACCUAUAGGAAUCUCUCAGCUAUAGGCAUGAAAGAAAUUGUACUGCAGUGCAACACUCUGAGUUUAUUCAAUGUGGUAAAGCCUUUGCAUAUCAGAGUCUUAGACAAAGGCAUGAAAGAACACAUAAUGGAGAGAAAGACUAUUGCUGUAACCAAUGUGGUAAAAACUUUAUAAUAAGCAGUCAUCUCCAAAUACAUAAACGAAGAAAUACAGGAGACAAACCCUAUGAAUGUAACCAAUGUGGUAAAGCCUUUGCAGGAAGUGGUGACUUCCA